GGGUGGACUGAAUGAACAGCAUACGUUGGCAAACCACGCUGCUGUUCUCAGUACACUAUCUCUCAAGACAUUGCGAUCUGACCAGUGGAAAAACAGGAUGUGGUUAACUUUAUGGCUGUAAACGAUACUGACAUCUGUAGUGGUUAAAUAACUGCCUGCAUAUUGCCACGUAGAUAUGCUGUUGUACUUUGUAUGUACGUGAUGUUAUACAAUAGUUAAAGGUCAUAGGCUGUUUAUGGAGAAAAAAUAAUCCACGCCUCCAGGCGGAGGUAAUAAUAAAAGCGGAGACCAGAAUUACGAGGGGGGCUCCGAAAUUGAACUCUGGUCUCACCGUGUCUCACUGUGUCGUGAUAUCUACAUCUGGUGACCCCGACGUGAUUCAGAACAAACACCCUCGUACCCACUGGCAGGAUCAGCCAACGGUGCACCUCAGCGUACAGCUCCCAUUCGUAGCUGCAGUACUGGCAGAAGUGACCAGGGAGAAACCGGUUCGUCAAGCUGUCGUCGAACGUACCAAUCGUACCCUUAAAGAGCAUUUGCUUAAACAAAAACAAAAAGGAGGAGUACCACUGGGAUUGGCCACCAAAGAGGAGUGGCUGGCACAAGUGUUGUUUACCAUUAAUCAUUUAAAUUUGUCUCAAUCUCCCAAUACUCAUUUUUCCUUUUCUACU